rnacentral:rRNA from 1 species
UACGGAGGGUGCGAGCGUUGUCCGGAAUCACUGGGCGUAAAGGGCGCGUAGGCGGCCCGGUAAGUAGGGGGUGAAAUCCUGAGGCUCAACCUCAGGGCUGCCUUCUAAACUGCCAGGCUCGAGCACAGUAGAGGCAGGUGGAAUUCCCGGUGUAGCGGUGGAAUGCGUAGAGAUCGGGAAGAACAUCGGUGGCGAAGGCGGCCUGCUGGGCUGUUGCUGACGCUGAGGCGCGACAGCGUGGGGAGCAAACAGG